UGGCGAACGGGUGAGUAACACGUGGGUGAUCUGCCCUGCACUCUGGGAUAAGCCUGGGAAACUGGGUCUAAUACCGGAUAGGAUCAUGCUUUAGUGUGUGUGGUGGAAAGUUUUUUCGGUGUAGGAUGAGCCCGCGGCCUAUCAGCUUGUUGGUGGGGUAAUGGCCUACCAAGGCGGCGACGGGUAGCCGGACUGAGAGGUUGGUCAGCCACAUUGGGACUGAGAUACGGCCCAG
rnacentral:rRNA from 1 species